CKGCAGGCYUWACACAUGCAAGUCGAACGGGCUUCUUCGGAAGUCAGUGGCAGACGGGUGAGUAACACGUGGGAACGUGCCCUUCGGUUCGGAAUAACUCAGGGAAACUUGAGCUAAUACCGGAUACGCCCCUUUGGGGGAAAGGUUUACCGCCGAAGGAUCGGCCCGCGUCUGAUUAGCUUGUUGGUGGGGUAACGGCCUACCAAGGCGACGAUCAGUAGCUGGUCUGAGAGGAUGAUCAGCCACACUGGGACUGAGACACGGCCCAGACUCCUACGGGAGGCAGCAGUGGGGAAUAUUGGACAAUGGGCGCAAGCCUGAUCCAGCCAUGCCGCGUGAGUGAUGAAGGCCUUAGGGUUGUAAAGCUCUUUUGUCCGGGACGAUAAUGACGGUACCGGAAGAAUAAGCCCCGGCUAACUUCGUGCCAGCAGCCGCGGUAAUACGAAGGGGGCUAGCGUUGCUCGGAAUCACUGGGCGUAAAGGGCGCGUAGGCGGCCGAUUAAGUCGGGGGUGAAAGCCUGUGGCUCAACCACAGAAUUGCCUUCGAUACUGGUUGGCUUGAGACCGGAAGAGGACAGCGGAACUGCGAGUGUAGAGGUGAAAUUCGUAGAUAUUCGCAAGAACACCAGUGGCGAAGGCGGCUGUCUGGUCCGGUUCUGACGCDGAGSCGC
rnacentral:rRNA from 1 species